GACGAACGCUGGCGGCGUGCUUAACACAUGCAAGUCGAACGGAAAGGCCCUGCUUUUGUGGGGUGCUCGAGUGGCGAACGGGUGAGUAACACGUGAGUAACCUGCCCUUGACUUUGGGAUAACUUCAGGAAACUGGGGCUAAUACCGGAUAGGAGCUCCUGCUGCAUGGUGGGGGUUGGAAAGUUUCGGCGGUUGGGGAUGGACUCGCGGCUUAUCAGCUUGUUGGUGGGGUAGUGGCUUACCAAGGCUUUGACGGGUAGCCGGCCUGAGAGGGUGACCGGCCACAUUGGGACUGAGAUACGGCCCAGACUCCUACGGGAGGCAGCAGUGGGGAAUAUUGCACAAUGGGCGGAAGCCAGAUGCAGCAACGCCGCGUGCGGGAUGACGGCCUUCGGGUUGUAAACCGCUUUCGCCUGUGACGAAGCGUGAGUGACGGUAAUGGAUAAAGAAGCACCGGCUAACUACGUG
rnacentral:rRNA from 1 species